rnacentral:rRNA from 1 species
UACGUAGGGGGGCAAGCGUUGUCCGGAAUUAUUGGGCGUAAAGAGCGUGUAGGCGGUCCGGUAAGUCGGCUGUGAAAGUCCAGGGCUCAACCCUGGGAUGCCGGUCGAUACUGCCGGACUAGAGUUCGGAAGAGGCGAGUGGAAUUCCCCGGUGUAGCGGUGAAAUGCGCAGAUAUCGGGAGGAACACCUAUGGCGAAGGCAGCUCGCUGGGACGUUACUGACGCUGAGACGCGAAAGCGUGGGGAGCAAACAGG